UUGCUUUGGCAGAACAUAUACUAAAAUUGAAACGAUACAGAGAAGAUUAGCAUGGCCCCUGCGCAAGGAUGACACAAAUAAAAGAUAUGGUUUAGGAGGGGUU
rnacentral:snRNA from 1 species